rnacentral:rRNA from 1 species
UACGUAGGGGGCAAGCGUUGUCCGGAAUCAUUGGGCGUAAAGAGCGUGUAGGCGGUCAGAUAAGUCCGCUGUGAAAUCUCGAGGCUCAACUUCGAGCUGUCGGUGGAAACUGUCUGGCUAGAGUCCGGAAGAGGAGAGUGGAAUUCCUGGUGUAGCGGUGAAAUGCGCAGAUAUCAGGAAGAACACCCGUGGCGAAGGCGGCUCUCUGGGACGGUACUGACGCUGAGACGCGAAAGCGUGGGGAGCGAACCGG